rnacentral:lncRNA from 1 species
UUGUUCACAACACAGAACAUGAGUGCUCUUUCCUAUCAUUUUGAUACUAAUAAACGGACAGUGAUUCUCAGUGUGGAAAUGAGAAUGAAGCUUUUUUUAAAGACAGGCUACAAUAAUUCCCAUGCAGAGAACCACAUGCCAUGACACUGGAUUCCAAACAGCAAGAACGUAUGGUGAAGACGAGGCCAACAGUGAGCUGAGAGAGGCCAGCCAGGGUGUGUUUCAGUGAAGAUGAGAAACAAUCAGAUAACACCUGUUUCCUCCAGGAAAGAAAAUGUGGCCAGGGAAAAGAGAUGGGAGGAAGGCUGGUCAUUGCCUAUUCCACUGUGCACAGUUUGAAUUUGGAGCCAUGAAAAGUAUUGCUUGGUUAAAUUAAAAUC